rnacentral:rRNA from 1 species
UACGAAGGGGGCUAGCGUUGCUCGGAAUCACUGGGCGUAAAGCGCACGUAGGCGGAUUGCUAAGUCAGGGGUGAAAUCCUGGAGCUCAACUCCAGAACUGCCUUUGAUACUGGCGACCUUGAGUCCGGGAGAGGUGGGUGGAACUGCGAGUGUAGAGGUGAAAUUCGUAGAUAUCGGGAGGAACACCAGUGGCGAAGGCGGCGAUCUGGGAACAUACUGACGCUGAGGUGCGAAAGCGUGGGGAGCAAACAGG